rnacentral:rRNA from 1 species
GAUGAACGCUGGCGGCGUGCCUAAUACAUGCAAGUCGAGCGAACGGACGAGAAGCUUGCUUUUCUGAUGUUAGCGGCGGACGGGUGAGUAACACGUGGAUAACCUACCUAUAAGACUGGGAUAACUUCGGGAAACCGGAGCUAAUACCGGAUAAUAUUUUGCACCGCAUGGUUCAAAAGUGAAAGACGGUCUUGCUGUCACUUAUAGAUGGAUCCGCGCUGCAUUAGCUAGUUGGUAAGGUAACGGCUUACCAAGGCAACGAUGCAUAGCCGACCUGAGAGGGGGAUCGGCCGCAUGGGAGCUGAGACACGGUCCAGAGUACUACGGGAGGCAGCAGUAGGGAAUCUUACGCAGUGGGCGAGAGACUGGCGGAGCGGCGCAGCGUGAGUGGUGGAGGUGUUCGGAUCGUAAUGCUCUGUUAUUAGGGAAAAACAUAUGUGUAAUUAACUGUGCACAUCUUGACGGUACCUGGUCAAGAAGCCACGGCUAACUACGUG